UACGGAGGGUGCGAGCGUUAAUCGGAAUUACUGGGCGUAAAGCGCGCGUAGGUGGUUUGUUAAGUUGGAUGUGAAAUCCCCGGGCUCAACCUGGGAACUGCAUUCAAAACUGACAAGCUAGAGUAUGGUAGAGGGUGGUGGAAUUUCCUGUGUAGCGGUGAAAUGCGUAGAUAUAGGAAGGAACACCAGUGGCGAAGGCGACCACCUGGACUGAUACUGACACUGAGGUGCGAAAGCGUGGGGAGCAAACAGG
rnacentral:rRNA from 1 species